rnacentral:tRNA from 1 species
CAAGGCGUAGCUAUAACACAAAGCACUCAGCUUACACCUGAGAGAUAUCUGCUGCCGACCAGAUCGCCUUGA